AUUAACUUUUUUAAUUUCCUGGGCAUGAACACAUUUACAUUUUAAUUCAAUUACUUAUUUAUUAUAAAACAAAAACACUUUUCCAACUAAAAAAUAAUAAUUCCAAUAAUGCACCUCUUCUCUGCCAUGGAAUCGACCCCACGUCCGAAUUGAAAUAUUCCAUUAUUCGAUUUCGAAUUAACGUUACCGACUCAUCCAUCCUCGAAAUAUUUUCCCAUUCCGCUAAUUUGCAACCGUUAACAAAUUUUCCCAUAAAAUGUUUUCCCUUUUUGUGAUAAUUCAAAGGGGAAUGAUAACUCAUUCACAUCAAACAAAAAAUCCCCUUGUCGUAAACUUGGUAUUUCCCAAAAAAUAUUUGCUUUUUCCCAUAAAUUUGUUCACAUCGUUUUUGCUGGGGAGUUGCUUUAAACAUGAGCCGAAGUGUGAACAAAAAUCAACACGAGAUUUUGCUCAACAAAAUGCAAUAUAACAGGACAAUUGCGUGUGGCUUUGUCAAAAUUUCAAAGGACGCAAUGACAUUUUAAAAUUGUUGGAAUUCCGGACGAUGUUUUUGAUGGCGGCAGAUUUUCCUCGAGCUCCUCCAGAAUAUAUUUAAAAGCAUCUUUACUUAAUCUAUAGUGCUGGGUGAAUCUACAACAAAAGUUUAUUUAGAAGCAAACAUUUUUUAAAGCAUAUACAGCGGUCAAAAAAAGUAUUCAUCAUUCAAUGUUUUUUUUUUAAUAAGUCUACAAAAGACAAUUGGAAUAAAAACAUAUUAAACUAA